ACUAAGCACUUUUGUAAGUUGCUCUGGAUAAGAGCAUCUGCUAAAUACUGUAAA
rfam:Astyanax mexicanus chromosome 23, whole genome shotgun sequence.